rnacentral:rRNA from 1 species
AGAGUUUGAUCCUGGCUCAGGAUGAACGCUAGCUACAGGCUUAACACAUGCAAGUCGAGGGGCAGCAUGGUCUUAGCUUGCUAAGGCCGAUGGCGACCGGCGCACGGGUGAGUAACACGUAUCCAACCUGCCGUCUACUCUUGGACAGCCUUCUGAAAGGAAGAUUAAUACAAGAUGGCAUCAUGAGUCCGCAUGUUCACAUGAUUAAAGGUAUUCCGGUAGACGAUGGGGAUGCGUUCCAUUAGAUAGUAGGCGGGGUAACGGCCCACCUAGUCUUCGAUGGAUAGGGGUUCUGAGAGGAAGGUCCCCCACAUUGGAACUGAGACACGGUCCAAACUCCUACGGGAGGCAGCAGUGAGGAAUAUUGGUCAAUGGGCGAGAGCCUGAACCAGCCAAGUAGCGUGAAGGAUGACUGCCCUAUGGGUUGUAAACUUCUUUUAUAAAGGAAUAAAGUCGGGUAUGCAUACCCGUUUGCAUGUACUUUAUGAAUAAGGAUCGGCUAACUCCGUGCCAGCAGCCGCGGUAAUACGGAGGAUCCGAGCGUUAUCCGGAUUUAUUGGGUUUAAAGGGAGCGUAGAUGGAUGUUUAAGUCAGUUGUGAAAGUUUGCGGCUCAACCGUAAAAUUGCAGUUGAUACUGGAUAUCUUGAGUGCAGUUGAGGCAGGCGGAAUUCGUGGUGUAGCGGUGAAAUGCUUAGAUAUCACGAAGAACUCCGAUUGCGAAGGCAGCCUGCUAAGCUGCAACUGACAUUGAGGCUCGAAAGUGUGGGUAUCAAACAGGAUUAGAUACCCUGGUAGUCCACACGGUAAACGAUGAAUACUCGCUGUUUGCGAUAUACAGCAAGCGGCCAAGCGAAAGCGUUAAGUAUUCCACCUGGGGAGUACGCCGGCAACGGUGAAACUCAAAGGAAUUGACGGGGGCCCGCACAAGCGGAGGAACAUGUGGUUUAAUUCGAUGAUACGCGAGGAACCUUACCCGGGCUUAAAUUGCAGAUGAAUUACGGUGAAAGCCGUAAGCCGCAAGGCAUCUGUGAAGGUGCUGCAUGGUUGUCGUCAGCUCGUGCCGUGAGGUGUCGGCUUAAGUGCCAUAACGAGCGCAACCCUUGUUGUCAGUUACUAACAGGUCAUGCUGAGGACUCUGACAAGACUGCCAUCGUAAGACGUGAGGAAGGUGGGGAUGACGUCAAAUCAGCACGGCCCUUACGUCCGGGGCUACACACGUGUUACAAUGGGGGGUACAGAGGGCCGCUACCACGCGAGUGGAUGCCAAUCCCCAAAACCUCUCUCAGUUCGGACUGGAGUCUGCAACCCGACUCCACGAAGCUGGAUUCGCUAGUAAUCGCGCAUCAGCCACGGCGCGGUGAAUACGUUCCCGGGCCUUGUACACACCGCCCGUCAAGCCAUGGGAGCCGGGGGUACCUGAAGUGCGUAACCGCGAGGAGCGCCCUAGGGUAAAACUGGUGACUGGGGCUAAGUCGUAACAAGGUA